GACCAUGACAGCAAAGUCCUUCUGAAGAGUCAUUCAGUGAAGACUUGGGGGUUGGCAAAGUAGUCAGUUCUGUUUUUGCCCUCUCCUAAUAGUUCAAUGAGUUAAAGGAAAAGAAUGUUUUCACAGAAAAAAAAAAAAGUAUGUUUGUUUGCUUGAAGGAGAUCUGUCUAGCCUUACCUCAUAUCACUUCCCUUCUGGUGAAUCUGAUGGUGAAAUAAGUUUAUUCCUAAGAGAGCUCCCUAAUGCAAUUAAAGUGGGCGUGGCUUCUGCGGGUUUCAUGGCAGGAUGCAUCAGGAAUAUAGAAACUUGGAGACAAAUGUCCUGUGGUUAUUGUUAUGGUCUGAAUGUUUCUACACCCCCAAAUUCAUAUGCUGCCAUUCUAACCCAAGGUGAUGGUAUUAGACGGGGUGUCUUUCGGCAGUGAGGGCAUAAUGCACUUAGGAAGAGACUCAGAGAACUAGCUAGCCCUUUCCACCAUGUGAGAGUGCAACAAGGAACAGACUCUCACCAGACACCAAAUCUGCUGGCCCCUUGAUCUGGGACUUCUCAGUCUCCAGAACUCUGAGAAAUAAAUGCCAAUUGUUUAGAAACUACCAAUUUCAUGGUAUUUUGUUACAGCAACCUGAACAGACUAAGACAGUUACUGAAAAACCCCACUUUAAAUAUGUGAGCAUGGGAGCCCACAUUGCUGGACAGCCUCAUGGUAAAGCUAUCAAAUCCUGCUCUUGGCAUAUUUUGCAGUAGUGUUGUGCCCAGGGAGGGGGGCAGUCAGUCCUGGGGGACGGGCAAUAAGGAGGUGAACUGCUGGCCGAGAACAUAAACACAAUCAUUAUUAAAUUGAUUACAUGUAGUGUGCUUUUUAUUAUUACCAUGUGCCAGCAAUCCUAAACUAUGUCAAUGAUAGAACACCUUCCCAUAAGAAAUAAUUUUUUGUUCUAACUGGUCUAAUUGUUACAGUUAGUGUUACAGUUAGCGUUGAGAGUGUUUUUCCAUUUUUUUUUACUGUGAUAAAAUAUGAUUACCAUUUUAGCCAUGGUUAAGUGUACAGUUCAGUGGCAUGAAACACAUUAAUGUUUAGUUUUAAUAAAAUAUUUGUUAGCUUCAUUUUUUUUUUACAUUUCACAUACAUGAAAUAAGCCAAUCACAAAAAGAUAAAUACUACACAAUUCCACUUAAAUGAGGUUAUCUACAGUGAUCAAAUUCUUAGAAACAAAAAGUAGAAUGGUGGUUACUCCGGACUGGAGGAAGCAGGAAAUGAGAAAUUGUUCAGUGGAUACAGAUUGAGUAUCCUCUCUGAAGAUUUGUAUAUUUAAAAUUUUUUUCUUUAUCUGAUUGAGUUGAUUUGAAGAAUCAGUUUUUGAGCUCUGAGAUUCCACAGCUUGAUCUAUUCCUCUGUUAAUGCUUCCAACACUAUUAUGAAAAUUUUGUAGUGAAUUUUUAAAUUCCAGUUCAGUUUGGUUCUUUUUAAAAAUGGCUAUUUUGUCUUUCAAUUUUUGGGUCAUUUUUACUGGAUUCCUUGGAUUGGGUUUCUACUUCCUCUUGAAUCUUGAUGAGCUUCUUUGGUAUCCAGAUUCUGAAUUCUAUGUCUGUCAUUCCGGACAUUUCAGUCCUUGCUGAGGGGCUAGUAUGCUUAUUUGACGUUUUGAAUUGCCAGAGUUCUUGUGCUGACUCUUUUGAGAGGGCUGGUGUUCCUUUGUCGUCUUGUUUUUAUAUUAUUCAUUUACCUUGAGGGCUUAACUGUGGUAUAUGUUGAGUAUAGUCAAUUGGCUUCAUUUCUGGAUACUUUCAGAGGGCCAAGGCUCUGUAUGGGAUCUUUGUGGCUAGAUUCUUGCUCUGGGUUUUACAGGUGCUCUAUACUGGCAGAAUAUUUUGAAAUUGUAAUUUCGGCGGCAAACCAGUAGAUGGCGCUUAAGAGUAAUUGCCGGCAGGCUCUGACUCAGCGCUGGCUCUUUGGUAUUUUGUAUUCGCAGUCAUGCUCCAUAGUUCAGGGGAGAGAGAUGAUCCUUUUGCCAAGUCCUCUCCUGGCCCUUAGAGGAGCCCCCUCCAAUCACUGGAGCUGCACUUACGUUUCCUUUGUUAGGUGUUCGGAGCUGUGGGGGCUCUCUCCGGCAGAGGCUAAGGCUUGCAGACAGGCCGCAACCCUUCCCUGAAAGGCCCUGAGAGAGACAAGUCUCAUCCCGCGCUGGCCCACGAACUGCUUCUCACUCCUCCCAGUGUUCUGAGUGGAGGCUCCUCCCCCGCGCUUGCGCACCAGCCACAGGUCUCAGCUGGGCACUCCUGAGCUCUGUGCUGCAACCUUGGGGCAUUGGGCUCUGUCUUUCGGCCCCUCGGGGUCAGACCCCUGCUGUGUUGGGGGAUCCGAAGUGCUCCCAAGCUGCCUGGAAAGCAUUCAGGCGGGGUCGCUAGCAAGAACUCAGGCUGGGCAGCGGAGGCGGCACAGUGCACACACUCCUGCAGGAACAACCAGACAGGGGCUUUGGGAGGGGCUGCGUGCAGGGGGUCCCGCAGAACAUAUGCGCCCCAGUCCCGCAGGAAGGACCGCCCUGCUCUCUCUUGGCUCACUGGUGGGGACAGCACUUCCUGGAAUAACGUUGCUUUGGAUUUAACAACAGUUGGGCAAAGGAGGUCGGUAUACAGAUACAGGACAAGAAGAGUGGUGUCAAAGGGAGGCUAAAUCAUUGGUUCUGGCUUCAUCUAAGGAAUUCUUAUGAGAAAUCGAGGGAGAGACUGUCCUGGGAAGUCUGAUGAAACAUGAUCAAGAUAUUUUAACUUCUGUGUUUAGCGCCUUUAAUAGAUUGAGCUAAGAAGUCUAAGCAAUCUUCAGGGCUAAGAAACAAGCUGCACUUGCCAGAGUUGGAUGUUCACACCUUGGUGAUGGCUGGGAGUCUGGCACUGUUGCCCAGGCUGAAGUGCAGUGGCGUGAUCUCUGCUUACUGCAACCUCUGCUCCCGGGUUCAAGCAAUUCUCCUGCCUCAGCCUCCUGAGUAGCUGGGAUUACAGGCGCCUGCCACCAGAUAUUAAACAGAAUUCUUAAUGAACAAAUCGGCCUUGAAAAGGGAACAUGGUGAAGCAAGACAAAAGAAUUACAAACUUUGACUGAAACUUUCUCCUACCAGGAAUACAGGGACCGCUCACCAGGUUGUGAUGAGAAGGAUCAUCUGAAAUGCUCCAUUGCUCUCAGAAGUUGAGGUAACUUCAUUGGGCCCAAACUGAUAAACUAGGAAUGGCUCAGAAAAUAGCCCCUUAGAAGAACUGUAUGAAGCUUGGAUCCAUUUUUCUGAGAAAAAAGAAAAAUCCCUCCAAUGAUUUGGUGAGGAGUUGAAGACAAAUAUCUUUAUUAUUUAUAAGUAUUCUGGCCAAGACAAUGAGUGUUGGAGUGGGAGGAUGAGGGAAUUUUAUGAUGAACGACAGCACAGCAAGAUGGACAGUAAGGCUCUGUCAUUGCCAUACCAGAUGUACAGAAGUGGCAUUUCAACUAAGGACACUGAAUAUGAAACAGACCUUGGAAAAGAGAGGAUGGAGUUAACUCUGAGAACAGAAAUCACCUACCUCUCUCCUCCCUAAACACACAGCUUACUGUCUAUAAUAAUAUACCCUUACUGGUCCAUUGUCCUCAUUAACAUAACUACAAUUCCAGGAGACUCUUGCCCAGGCAAAUUGCUUUAUUGUUCAUUACAGAGAGUUUUUGAAACAAAGAACCAUCAAUGCUUCAACAGAAAGCAUCAACAGUUUAUACCCCAAGAUCUUAGAACUCCUCACUUCCAAAUCCUCACUAUGCUAAUCCUAAACUAUUAUGUCAUGAUUUUUACCUAAACAAGACCCUGCAUGGAAAGAUCCUCUUUAUACAAUCUUUCAUUUUUUUGUCCUGGCUUUAAAAUGCAAAGCCCAUAUCCUUGGAAUUCCCUCUGUCUUGGGCAAAGUGUGACAGUUGGCCACCCUACUCCAAAAUCUCAUAAUUUUCCCACCUUGCCCCUCUAGAGACUAUCAAUCUCUGUUGAGGUGGUUCUCUCUUUCCAGGGUGAGCAAUAAACUCCUUGCCAGAGCUUUCCAUUGGGGGAGGAGGGUUUGAACUACUGCCAGAGACAAACAGAUGUAAACUAGAUGCAGGAGUUUGGAAAUUGAGCAGGGUUUGCAGUCUGGAAAAUUGCUCCACAAGAGACUGUCGUUGAACGAGUAGUCCUGAGUGAGUGGUCUAAGAGAACGUCAGAGUGAAAGAAAAUGCAGCCCACCUGGGUCAGCUGAAAAGGUAGAGAAUAAAAGGGAAAUGAAAUGCAGCUGCUAGUAACAGUUGAUUAAAUGAGGCUGGCAACUUACAUGGAGGCUGGAAGAGGAGAAAUGUGGGAGAGGCAGCAAGGAGAGAGAAGGAAACAUGAAGGAGGAGAAGAUUUCUAGAAGGAAAUGUAAGAGCUACAAAGGAGAAAGAUGAAUGAGAGACCCCACAAGAAAACAGCAGGGAAAAGAAGCUGCUUUCUGAGUUGAUGGUUGUUUCUAGUUUGGGGCUAUUAUGAAGAAAGCUGCUAUGAAGAACAUCCAUGUACAAAUCAUUUUAUGGACACACAUACUCAUUGCUCUUGGGUAAAUAUCUAGGAAUAUGAUUUAUGGAUCAUAG
rnacentral:lncRNA from 1 species